GCAGCGGAGCGGGGCCGUGCUCGCGGGGCCGUGCUCGCGGGGCCGUGCUCGCGGGGCCGUGCUCGCGGGGCCGUGCUCGCAUCUCCGCAUGGCCCUGCUCUCCGGGCUCUCCUAUGUGCAGGGUGUCACAGGUGGGCAGAGCACCUCCCAUCUGCAGCAUCAUUACUGCGCGAGUGAAGGGUUAGAAGGAGCUUUGGUUGUCUUCUGCAAGUUCUCCAUGCUAUAUUUUAAUAUCAUAGCGUAAUUAGGUAUGUGGAAGUCCCUCAGUUGAAAAAUGCGGAUAUGCUUGGAUGUUUGAAUGUUAGGGUAUUUGUGUUUUCAUAUUCUUUCUGUUUUAGGCCACGUCUAGAUUCCUUGUGAAUUGCCAAGAACCUGUCACUCCCAGCUCUGGGAUUCCCUGUUGGAGGUGAUGGCUGUACCCUGCUGCUCUGAUGUCUGCUUCCAUGCAGAACUUGUGACCUUCAUGUUUUGGGAUGCUUGCAGUAUGUUCAGUCCGACAUGGGAUGGCACCAAGCCCUCCCAUAUGUGCUGUGAAAAUGAUGAGAAUGACUUCAGAGGCUGUGUGUGCUGGCUGAUGAGAGAAGCUAAAAAGAGGAACCUCGAAAUUAAACUGAUGGAUAUGGGAUGAAAGGGCAUUUCAUAGGAAAUUGAUCAAG
rnacentral:lncRNA from 1 species